GGGCUAUAAAUAAUGCCAACGUGAGAAGAGGCAAUUCUCACUUCCUGCCUUUGGGAGAGAACUCCUGAUUGUGCUUUGCCAGGAAUCCACUGGUACAAAUUUACUUUUAAAGUUUGCUGGACUUGUGCUCAUUCUACUAAGGACUUGCUUUAUUGGCACAUUGAGUAUUUGCUGACAGUCUCCUGAUUCACUUCUUUAUGCCUUGGCUCCCAUAUAAGUUUUUCCUACGUACUUGGCAUUUAAGAAGCUCACACAGCCACCACUAUAGUCUCAGUUUGGAAGCUGGUGAACUGUGUCCUGCCUGGGGAAACGGCACCUGAUAAGAAGAUUCCAGAAUCACUUUUGGGGUCACGCUCCUAAACAAUUGGAGGGAAAACAACAAACAUCUUCAAGCCAUCUUGAGACUUUCUCCUCCACAGGCAGCUCUUUGGAGUGUUCAGGCCUCUGGAUGAAACCCAAAGCGUUGCUUGCCAAAACUAAAGGCAGCGAGGCCUGAUGAGUGCCAGCACCGGUGCAGAAAGGGGAACUCUACAUUUCCCAUCCUUCCAAGUAUGAACAGGCCACAACGAACACAACAGAAGAAGGAUGGGCUCCUCAGAGAGGAUGCUGCCGAGGCUUUUGGUCACGUGGGAAGUAAUACAGAGGGCUUGCAGAGCAAGAGCAAGAUGAAGCCAGCCCAGGGCUCUGAGUCUCCCAUGCUACAGGGGUUUGAGUGAGAGCCUGAAGCAGGCCAGGGGCAGGCUCUCACACCAUUGUAAACAGUCAGGAGUGAGACUGGAAGGUUUUGUUAUUUGCUUUGUUUGUUUUUCCUGUCUCUAAGAUAUAGAUUUGAGGGACUUCAAAUAACAGUAGUGGGCCAAACCAGAAUCUUAGUGAUAAGCUAAUGGCAUGGGCUGCUUUAGAAGUAAGUAUAAAAGUUUAUAGUACAAAAGAUAUCCUUUAAUUUCCUUCUAAAUGAAGAUAUAAAUCUAACCUAAAAGGAGAGUGGAGGGUGAGAUGUUUUAUUGCUCCGCUCUUGAAUGCCAGAGCAGGAUUGUUGGAAGGGAAGCAGUGGAGUGACAAUUAAUACAACUUGGACCAAGAAAAAGACAAAGAACAAGUUCUACUAGGAAAAUUCUUAAAAACUUCAACCCCAGAAGUAUUAACAUUUAAAUGAAAGUGGGGAACACUAACGUUACCUAACAGUAACUGUUAAGUUUUCAUUUCCUAUACCACUGGUCAUGAAUCAUGGGAAACUUAUAAAAGGGCAUAAACGGUUCAGAGGCCAGGCUAUACUGGAUCAGCAUCUAAGCUGCCAGUGCUGAACUGGGAAUCAAAAGCCGAGGGGCUCUGCCCAGGUGGAAACCUCACUGACGGUGAGUGGAAGUCACCUCCUUUUUCAGGAGCUUCACUUCCUCAGUGUAAAAGGAGGGGUUCCUUUGAAUAAUAAAAUAAAAUUCUAUGAUUCAUAAUGUAACUCCAUGAACUCUUUACUUGCCUGAGAUCACUAAAAGAAAUAUUUGGUGAAAAUGAAAAAGCAGAACAAAAAAGCAACAUUUUAUGUUUUCGACAAUGUUUAAGUCAAGGGAAUCUUAUUACCAUGUAACUUGAGUAGAAUUUUUAGCAAAUUAGGCAAAAUUUAGGGAAUGCUUUUCAAGAUUGGAAUCAGAUGUCUUUCCUGGAUAACAAAAACUUCCUCUAUGAGCAUUAUCCAAAUGUUCUUUCAUAUCUCCAUUUUGAAGCAAUAAAAGAAGUCUUGGAUGUUUCAGUGUCCAAUCUCUGAAUUGCAUAAAACUUGAGACACAAUGUUUCAUUCAUACAGCACUUCACUCUAUUAGGCAAAUAUUGUAUCAUUCAGUACUUUCUAUAGACACAAUUUGUCAUAAAAAUAACUUGAUAAUAUUAUUCUUAACCUAGAAAAGUCCACAA
ensembl:lncRNA